AUGCAUGACGGCUUCAAGUACUUCCACUGUGAGAUCCUCCCCAAUGGCGCCGGCAGCGAUGGCCUGUCCUAUUUCUGUUUGGCAAUUGGGUGUAAAGACCAGCAGUCAGUUCUGGAUGUUUAUGUGUUACGGGAAAAUCUCUGGGCCAUCUACUCUUCGGCUGUAACUGAAAUCAAUGAAAUUGAACUGCUAUUGACCAGUUUGAUUGUUGAUGACAAGAUCUAUAAUCUGAUCCGCGUGAGCGGCAUUUUGAAGUUAGUCUCGCUAGAUCUUGCGUCGUCAUGCUUGUCGCUGGUUAACCUCCCGGAAGAGGUGGAUUAUCUUCGCAUCUGGCACUACAUAGUGGAUAAGAAGGGUCCCGCCAAUUGGUUACUUGUUGAUACCAUUUGUUUGCGCGAGAUAUGUGUUAAUCAUAUGAUAUCAAUUAGAAUGUUCGAGGAUGUGGGUAAUUCUGCUCUUAUUGUACAUGCGGUUGGGGUCAAUCCUGGGUUUCUUUUCUUGGAGACGGAUGGUGUCCUCUACCUGUUUGAUCUUGAACGCAAGGCGGCAAAGAAGGUUUAUGAGGUUACACAAGAGUAUAUAUACUUAUAUAGAGUCACUCCCUUCAUGAUGGUUUGGCCUCCUAAAUUCCCUGUGAUGAAGGAAGGGUGUGAUCCAAAAGAAUGA
rnacentral:rRNA from 1 species